UACGUAGGGUGCAAGCGUUAAUCGGAAUUACUGGGCGUAAAGCGUGCGCAGGCGGUUAUGCAAGACAGAGGUGAAAUCCCCGGGCUCAACCUGGGAACUGCCUUUGUGACUGCAUAGCUAGAGUGCGGCAGAGGGGGAUGGAAUUCCGCGUGUAGCAGUGAAAUGCGUAGAUAUGCGGAGGAACACCGAUGGCGCAGGCAAUCCCCUGGGCCUGCACUGACGCUCAUGCACGAAAGCGUGGGGAGCAAACAGG
rnacentral:rRNA from 1 species